rfam:Schistosoma margrebowiei strain Zambia genome assembly, scaffold: SMRZ_scaffold0000760
AUCUAGCUGACGAGUCCCAAGUAGGACGAAGAGCGCGUCCUUUAU